rnacentral:rRNA from 1 species
UACAGAGACUGCAAGCGUUAUUCGGAUUCACUGGGCGUAAAGGGUGCGCAGGCGGCCAAGUGUGUGAGGCGUGAAAGCCUGGAGCUUAACUCCAGAAUUGCACCUCAAACUACAUGGCUAGAGCAUUGGAGAGGGUAGCGGAAUUCACGGUGUAGCAGUGAAAUGCGUAGAUAUCGUGAGGAACACCAGAGGCGAAGGCGGCUACCUGGACAAUUGCUGACGCUCAGGCACGAGAGCGUGGGGAGCAAAAGGG